CUCGGCUCGGGGCUCGGUAGACCCGAGCCUAAGCUCGGGCCGAGCCCUAUUUUAGGGACACGGGCUUUGCUCGAACCGGCCCGUGAGCUCGCGAGCUUUUAGAAAAAAAAAAAAAAAAAUUUGAAGGCAAAACUGCUGCCUUUUAAAGGCAGCAGUUCGCUGCCUUAUAUUUAAGGCAGCUGAAUUUAAAAAAAAAAAAAUAAAUAAAUUUUGAAGGCAAAACUGCUGCCUUUUAAAGGCAGCAGUUCGCUGCCUUAAAGGUAGCAUGCUGCUGCCUUAUACUUAAGGCAGCAGCUUGCUGCCUUUAAAAGGCAGCAAAACUGCUGCCUUAAAAAGGCAGCCGAAUUAAAAAAAAAAAAAAAAAAAAAAAAAAAGGGGGAGAAAACGAGCCUGCCCAGCUCGGCCCGUAAAAAGCCCAAGCUUUUCUUUAAAAAGCCCGAGCAAAAGCUCGGGCCGAGCCUAUUUUUUUUGGCCGAGCUUUUGCUCGGGCCGGCUCGAGCCCGCAAAAAAGCUCGGUCAUUUUAACCGGGCCGAGCCCGAGCAGAAAUUUUUGGCUCGCGAGCCGGCUCGGCCCGGCUCGUUUACAUCCCUAUCUAGCCC
rnacentral:lncRNA from 1 species